UUUUGAAGCGAGUUAUGCGCCUUUGAAGUUGGAGGUGAGACGCCAGACAAAGAGACAGUCAAGCUUCUCUGCGUCUCUCGCUCUCUCACCUCCAACUUCAAAGGCGCAUAGCUCGCUGAAAAU
rnacentral:sRNA from 13 species